UCAUGGAAAUGCAAGGUUUAUUCAUGCUCCAAAAAACCCAAGGCUUGUUCCUCUCCUUUUCUGCUCACUCUUCCUGUAAGAAACAGACUGACAGAGGCUAAAGAAAGAAAAAGGGGAGGGGGGGGAAUUUGUUUUACAGUGGGGGGCUCCUUAUCCAGACAACAGAAACCUGGCAAGGCAAAAGAAUUGUACCAUCACCUUCUCUUCUGCAGCAGGCAACUGAGAGCUGGAUAGACAGGAGACAUUUUGCAAGACUCUGCAACUGAAGCAGUGCUAACCAGGUGGUGCGGGUUCAAAUGGCUGCCAAGCUUUUCGUUCUAAUCAGCUGGCCAGAUGGCAGCCGUGUGAUCAACAUCGAAAACAUCAAAGAACCCCGAAAGCCAUUUCAUCGCUACAUGGUGGGGGAGCAGGUGCUAGCCCGCUGCCCUGGCUUCAGUGGUCUGUACUGGGGGGUUGUGGAAGGCAUAAGCGAGCAUAAAGAUAUCUUAGAGAAAAGGCUGCAGGAAAAUAGACAACUCUUUGAGAAGCUAAAAGACGAACCAGCAGUGCACAGUGGGCUGCCAUCCCAACCUAAAAAAUCAAGGAAGUCUUUUCCAAAAUGGAUGCCAGGAAGUUCCUCUCGGAAAUACAGCGAUGACCGGAGCUUCUAUGUCAAACCGCUGGUCGGGGAUGAAGACGCAGGGCUCCAGCGUGAUGCUGCCAUCUCUUCUGUCUUAAAAGAGAGGCGCAUCCUGACUAGCACGACUAGAUCCCACUGCACAAUGUCAGCACCUCACCACUCUUCCCCGGCCUUCAAAUCACCAUCUCCGUUCUUGUCCCUGGCUGUGCCUGGAACAUCCCAGAAUGAAGAAGCAAGGCCUGGCACAGCUACCAGAGAUUACAUCACCCUGACAAUGAAAAGGAAGUCAGAUGGCAUUCUAGCUAAGUGUCAGCAGCACAUCUGUACCAACAGCUGUGAUGAACCAAAGACUGAAGGUUCCCCAGAAACAGAUGAUUUUGAGGUAGUUCCGAAAGAUUUUGGCCCUGGUGAAAUGGAAAGGUCCGAGAAGAUUGAACAACUGGAGAGAAUCAUAGUAGAUCUCCAGCAAGAGGUCCUCUCCCUGAAACGGAAGGUGCAGCGGCUGGAGUCACUGUCCUUUCAGGAAGAACCCCAUAGGCAGCAAGGCGAGGUGGUGGAAUUGUUUAAUGGCUACACAAAGGAGCAUUUAAAAGAGGCCAUCCGAUUUGACCAGAAAAUCAGCACCGCCUGCAAAACACUACUCUACAAGCUGUUCACGUCCGACUAUAUACAGAGCCACUCCAUCACAGGAAGGAGAGGGAACACCUUUCGGGAGGCUAAGCCCAUGAUGGAUGAGCGGUGCAUCAAAAUCAUUAGGGUGUUACUGAAGCAGAAGUUUGGGGACCACCUGAGCGACACAGUAAUCACUGAGAAAAUCCAAAAUGUGCAGAAAGCACUCAGGCAGAAAUUUAAGACGGAAUGUCUCUGA
rnacentral:lncRNA from 1 species